rnacentral:lncRNA from 1 species
UGAUCACACAAGUACAAUCAUUUUAGGCCAGAAUGAUAAGGCAUAGACCUGAGAAGCCUUACGUGCUCAUUCAGUAGCACAUCUGGAGAAAAGGAGGCUGGGGGGGACCUUUAUCACCCUCUACAAUUGCCUGAAAGGAAGCUGUAGCCAGGUGAUCGUUGGCCUCUUCUCCCAGGCAACCAGCAACAGGACCAGAAGUCCUCAGGCUGCACCAGGUGAUGUUCAGGUUGGACAUCAGGAAGAAGGACUUCAAGCAUUAGAACAGGAUGCCCAGGGAAGCCAUGGAGGCCCCAUCCCUGGAGGUGUUCAGUAAAUGACUGGACAUGGCACUUAGUGCUCUGGUCUCAGAGACAAGGUGGGGAUCAGUCACAGGUUGGACUAAAUCUUGGAGGUCUUUUCUGAGAUUCUUUCAGCACAGCCUGGUGUUAACUAAUAUAUAUAGAUAUUUACAUAAUUCAUAACAAGAAGGAAUUUCCAGUAUUUUUUGGAAUUUACACUCCUGAGAUGAAGCUAACCCUUAAGAAAAGACAUAUCAACAGACAGGGAAGACAAAGCAGAGAAAACUGCCUGUUUUCUUUUCACUGCAGGAUCUGGAGCUUCAUGGGUCAGUGGAAAGGGCUGUAUGCCAUUGCAACUACAACUGGAAGUAACAUCUGGAAAAUCUCUUCCAUGACAUCCCAACCCAAUGAGAUUUCAAAUUGCUUCAUAGGUUGCCUAAGAACCUGGCAAUUACUGCCUGGAGCCAGUGGCAUCUCAACAACAACAGGACUACUGCAGCUACCAUUAAUCGAGUGUCAUGAUAACAGCAACAGGUGAAGCAAGGAAAAACAGCAAGGGACAAUUGCAGGCUGUAAAGAUUCUUAAGAGAAGUACAAAUAUUAUCAGUCAUUAAAAAUACUCUCAAUUAAGGGAAUUUAUUCUCCAUACAACAUGAAUAACUAUACUACUUUGUUCUACUAACCACAGAAUCAAGGUAUGGGUUUGAAUGGACCUUAAAGAUCAACUAGUUCCAACUCCUCUGCCAUGGGCAGGGAUGCCUUCCACUGGUUCAGGUUACUCAGAGCUUCCUCCAACCUGGACUUGAACGUUUCAAGGGAUGGGCAUCCACAACUUCUCUGGGCAACCUGUGCCUGGGCCUCAGUGCUCUCACAGGAACGAACCUUUUCCUAAUAGCUAAUCUAAGCCUUUUUUCUGUCAGUUUGAAGCCUUGCCCCCAUAUCCUGUCAUUCCAGACCCUUGUAAAUAGUCUCUUCUCCUUCUUUCCUGCGGGGUCCCUUCACGUACUUGAAGGAAAUAAUUAGGUCACCCCAAAGCUUUUCCUUUUCCAGGCUGAACAAUCCUAAUUCUCCCAGCCUUUCAACAGAGAAAAGAGGUGCUCUUAUCAUCUUGGUGGCCACCUGUGGACUGGCUCCAACAGUCCAAGGACUGCCUGUCCUUCC